UACAGAGGUGGCAAGCGUUGUUCGGAAUUACUGGGCGUAAAGGGCGCGUAGGCGGUCCGAUAAGUCCCGUGUGAAAGCCCCCGGCUCAACUGGGGAACUGCACGGGAAACUGACGGACUUGAGUUCGGGAGAGGGAAGCGGAAUUCCAGGUGUAGCGGUGAAAUGCGUAGAUAUCUGGAGGAACACCGGUGGCGAAGGCGGCAUCCUGGACCAACACUGACACUGAGGAGCGAAAGCCAGGGGAGCAAACGGG
rnacentral:rRNA from 1 species